CUUUUAUUUCUUUAAUGAAACACAACAGCUUGGAAUUGCAAGGAAUUUCUAUAAAGAAAAUGGCAUAGAAAAUUGAAGGCCAUAGAGCAUUUUGGAUCCUAUAAAAAUGGGGACGAACCAUGUAUUCAUUUUCUCAAUAAAAACACCAUUCCCACAUCCCUCUACAUUCAGCACCAUUUUUUGCAUAUUGGUUCUGAUUUUUUCAAUAUUCUCUGUCUCUUCUCUCUCUCUCUCUCUCUUUCUCUCAAUCUUUUUUUAUGUUUUGAGAGAGGGUUUUUUUUGGUAGUAACGAAGAAGGAAGAGACAGAGGAAAAUGGUUGUUUCAAACAUUUCAUUUGGAGUUUUUGCUGCCAUUGUUGCCAUUGUUUUUGCCAUCUCUAUACCUUUGGCUCAUGGCCAAUCUUCAGCUCCAGCUCCAUCACCCACAAGCGAUGGCGCUGCAAUAGACCAAGGAGUAGCUUGUAUUCUAAUGCUUGUGGCGUUGGUGCUCACAUACCUUAUUCACUGAUGAUUAUUCAUCAAACAAACUAAGGCACAUACAUUAUUUUGGAUGUAACGUCAUAUCAAUCUCCCCUGUUCUUUUUUUAUUUUUUUUCAUGUGGGACAACAUUGAUAUAUUCUCUUCUAAGAAAAAUGUUUGGUGUGUUCUAAUUAUUUCCAUAUGUAAUUUGAUGAGACUUGAAGGAAUAUAUGGCUGUCGGCCUUCCAGAA